GAUGGACGCUGGCGGCGUGCCUAAUACAUGCAAGUAGAACGCUGAAGGAAGGAGCUUGCUCUUUCCGGAUGAGUUGCGAACGGGUGAGUAACGCGUAGGUAACCUGCCUGGUAGCGGGGGAUAACUAUUGGAAACGAUAGCUAAUACCGCAUAACAGUAGAUGUUGCAUGAUAUCUACUUAAAAGGUGCAAUUGCACCACUACCAGAUGGACCUGCGUUGUAUUAGCUAGUUGGUGAGGUAACGGCUCACCAAGGCGACGAUACAUAGCCGACCUGAGAGGGUGAUCGGCCACACUGGGACUGAGACACGGCCCAGACUCCUACGGGAGGCAGCAGUAGGGAAUCUUCGGCAAGGGACGGAAGUCUGACCGAGCAACGCCGCGUGAGUGAAGAAGGUUUUCGGAUCGUAAAGCUCUGUUGUAAGAGAAGAACGAGUGUGAGAGUGGAAAGUUCACACUGUGACGGUAUCUUACCAGAAAGGGACGGCUAACUACGUG
rnacentral:rRNA from 1 species